ACAGCGUGACUUGCUGGGUGUUGUUUGCUUUUUGAAGUGUGCCCAGUGGGGCUGUGUUUGUUGCAGCUAGGGAUGUCCACUGAGCAAGUGUGCCUGCUGCUGAGUGACAACGUGAUUUUCAAAGGCAGAACUGUGAGCGUUCCUUCAGGUGUCUUUGAUGGGAAGAUGGUAUUCAAGGCUGGAUCCUUGAUGUGGGAUGUACAGUGGAAGUUCCAUUUCAGAAGCUGAAAGGUUGGCCAGACCUUCAUGCUGUAGACAGUCAGAGGGAUUCUCCUUAGAGGUGUUUCUUGGCAAUCAAUACCACCACCACCACCAUCCAUAUCUAGAGUCAGGGCACUUUCCCUCCUCCCCAGCCGGUGUACAAGCUCAAUGAAACAAUUCCAGCUUUUUGUGAUUGUGCUUUCUCUCUGUUACCUUCAGCAUGUUCUCUGUCUUCUCCCUGCCAAAAGCAUUUCCUGUUCCCCAGACUGCAAACCUGGCAGUACAGAGGCUGGGUCAGCUGUGAGAUGAUCUCCAUGGAAUCAGUUUAAACCUCCUGGCAGUGGGACAGCAGACACUGUGGGAUGCGAUGGGACUCGUUUCACGCAGACUUGUGACCUCAUCUGGGUUCUAAGAGCGCUCUUUGACCUCCAGCCCAGUACCUCCUCUGCUGCCACUGCCCAGAAGUUCUGAACACCGAGUUCCCAGACAGGCCAGGUGCACGAGCAGAGCUUUUUACCUCCCUCUGGAAGCGGAAACUGUCUGGGCUCGGUGCAGCCCCAGAGCGACAAUUAACGCUGCUAAUUUUUCUGGCGCGAAUGUAAAUGGCUCAGGGCCAGACCUUAGCAUCAAUACAGUUAUUGGCAACUACUGAAAACAAAUAAAUCAACCACAAUUUACUGGCACCCCUGCCUCCUUUUCUAAAUGGGAUCAGCAUAGUGUGAGAGUUCUCAGAGAACGUUCUGAGAGAAUCCAUCUGGACGAGGAGCGAGAGUUGUUUCGCUGACAUAACUGACUGGGAGUUUUAGAGCAUUUUUAAAAGGAUACCUCACAAGAGGCUAGUAAGGAAGUGAAGAAGUGGCUGAAAGAGAACAGGAUCCAAUGGUCAGUUUUCACUGGGGCAGUGCUUAGUAACAGAGCACUAAGACUGCCGGAACUUCACUGUGAAUUGACCUUCUGGAGAAGGGCUUAGUUAGCGUGGUGUUAAGGUCUGGCAUGCAUGUGUUGUUUUAACAAGUGACAAUCCUUUCACAGAGCAGUUACUGAUAUUAGUCAAGACAAACCUCAGCAAUUAGGCAAGACAAUGGCAGAGGAAGUUCAUGAUGGAAAAUCCAAAAUAAGGUGUGUGGGGAGGAUAUUACUAAUACACGUUGUUGGAGCUUGGAUUUACAGUAACCACCCAAGAACACGACCUGUGUGUCACCUUGGAGAGCUUGGUGUGGAAAGGCCAGGAAAGCAAAUGAAAUGUCACCAUGGAUAAAGAAAGGGGCGUGGGCCCACAGAACCUGCUCUGGCCAGAACUCCCCAGCAUGCACAGUGCUUUCUCACCCUGCUGCACAGUUCCUAGGAGGAGCUGGCUGUCCUCUGGCGGGAAGUGCUGAGGCUCUUUGACAUCACUUUCCAUCCUCUGUCCCCAGCUUUCUCCAAAAGGCCUUCCCGUUGCUGAGAAGCAGCUGUUCUUAGACUUGUGCUGUUGGAAAGAAGCUGAGUUCAGAAAGCAAGCCCAUGGAAAUGUUUCCACAUAACAACGUGCAGCACUUCAAACCAAAGGAGGCUUCUCUCAUGUGAAACCACAGGGAAGCAGAGACAUGCAGUCAUGCUGAAAAUGGAUCUGAAUGCAGUGGCUGAUGCUCCCAGUGUAAAUUUUUACUGAGAGAAACUUAAGUGAAACCUCAGCGUAUUUCCUGAAGAAACCCACCCUAACCAAAAUGGCAUCUCCGAGGACGAGUCCCUUCCCAGAUCUCACAACAGCUUUUUGUUCCUGUGCUCUGAAGCCGCCUUCUAAACCAUACCUGCUGUCACAAAGCACUGAAGCUGGAGUGGCUCAGUGGCCUUCAAACUGAGAGCUGCCUCCUGAACAAAGGCUGUUCUGUCAGCAGGCUCUGCUCUGGAGCCAUCAGCUCUGAGGUUCCUUGGAGCAGCUGUGCGCCGCCCUGUCAGCACAAUCCCAAGCUGUAACAGCCCCAUUAGCUACAUGCUGCUGCCCAGCUGGACCCUGUACCAGCUCUGUGCUGGAGAAGGAGCAACGACUAAAGCCUGAGAGCUGAGCUCUGUGUCUUCUGUUGGUACCAAGUCACUCUGGCUUCUUUCCUCCAAAAGUGCACCAGCUUGCAGCAGCCUUCUGCCACCACUGAACAACAAGAGCAUCUCCACCUUCUUCCACAAGUCUCCCAGGCCCCCAUCAAGUACUGAAGGGA